UACGUAGGUGGCAAGCGUUGUCCGGAUUUACUGGGUGUAAAGGGCGUGUAGGCGGGAUUGCAGGUCAGAUGUGAAAUACCGGGGCUCAACUCCGGGGCUGCAUUUGAAACCGCGAUUCUUGAGUAUCGGAGAGGCAGGCGGAAUUCCUAGUGUAGCGGUGAAAUGCGUAGAUAUUAGGAGGAACACCAGUGGCGAAGGCGGCCUGCUGGACGACAACUGACGCUGAGGCGCGAAAGCGUGGGGAGCAAAC
rnacentral:rRNA from 1 species